rnacentral:tRNA from 1 species
GAGCCCAUAGCUCAAUGGGUCAGAGCAGCGGAUUCAUAAUCCGAUGACCCAGGUUCGAAUCCUGGUGGGCUCG